rnacentral:rRNA from 1 species
GAUGAACGCUGGCGGCGUGCCUAAUACAUGCAAGUCGAGCGAACAGACGAGGAGCUUGCUCCUCUGACGUUAGCGGCGGACGGGUGAGGAACACGUGGAUAACCUACCUAUAAGACUGGGAUAACUUCGGGAAACCGGAGCUAAUACCAGAUAAUAUAUUGAACCGCAUGGUUCAAUAGUGAAAGACGGUUUUGCUGUCACUUAUAGAUGGAUCCGCGCCGCAUUAGCUAGUUGGUAAGGUAACGGCUUACCAAGGCGACGAUGCGUAGCCGACCUGAGAGGGUGAUCGGCCACACUGGAACUGAGACACGGUCCAGACUCCUACGGGAGGCAGCAGUAGGGAAUCUUCCGCAAUGGGCGAAAGCCUGACGGAGCAACGCCGCGUGAGUGAUGAAGGUCUUCGGAUCGUAAAACUCUGUUAUUAGGGAAGAACAAAUGUGUAAGUAACUAUGCACGUCUUGACGGUACCUAAUCAGAAAGCCACGGCUAACUACGUG